rnacentral:rRNA from 1 species
UACGUAGGGUGCAAGCGUUGUCCGGAAUUAUUGGGCGUAAAGAGCUCGUAGGCGGUUUGUCGCGUCUGCUGUGAAAACGCGGGGCUCAACUCCGCGCCUGCAGUGGGUACGGGCAGACUAGAGUGCAGUAGGGGAGACUGGAAUUCCUGGUGUAGCGGUGGAAUGCGUAGAUAUCAGGAGGAACACCGGUGGCGAAGGCGGUUCUCUGGGCAUUACCUGACGCUGAGGAGCGAAAGUGUGGGGAGCGAACAGG